GCGUUGGGAUAUCAAUUGUCUACGUGUUUUCCAUUCGACAUUCUCUCUUCUCUACUCACCGAUUCUCAUCCAUCGCUUCUUCGUUCUUCUUCUCAGUGAAACCUCACCGCCAUCACCCUAUAGGCGGCCAUCGUUCACCACCACCAACAAUCUGCUUUUUCACCAUUGUUCAUGGGGUUUACUUCGUCAACGAUGCUCACCGCCCCCACAAGUUCCGGAGAGUGCAGCCUUGAUUUUUCAUCAGUUUUUUUUAUCACCAUCAACGACGAGCAAGAGGAGCAACAGCCGCCGUCACUGCAAUUCCUAUUCUAUUGUCUGCGACUCAUUGAUCUUGCGUUUUCUAGUUUUUCUCAUGCCCUAACUCUCGCUCUAUAGGUCAAUUAUGGAAGAUGCAAUUCUGAUUUUGAAGUUUUCGAUUUUUUUGAAUGAUAGAUCAAAUUGGGGAUUUUCUUUUCUUAUCUGACCCUUGAUUUAUAGUUUCUCACAUACUCUGGCGUAUGAGAAGCAGCAUCCAACCGCGGGCACCAUCGCAUCUUCUUCAACCAAAAAUAUAUGUUCUUAAAAACUUAGGUUAGUUUUGAUUUUACCCAGCUCCAAUCUCAGGGAACAUUAGAUGCAUGUUGAUUUUCUGCUCUAAAUUGUUGGUGUAGUUUGACAAUUGAUGUGGUGUUGGGUUUAUAACCCACGUCGGUUGUGUCUGGAGGUUUCUGGCUACAACCCAUUGUUGAUUAUGAUGCGAUUUAGAUCGACCUCCACCGCCACCACCACUCUCAGCAUCGUCAGCCUAAUGACGAAGGUAUCAGCUCUAAUGAAGAAGGUGUUGCCGGCUAAUAAGUAAGGAUCGGGAAAAAAUCAUUUUUCUUUGUGCAUGUGUAUCUUUCUAUCUAUGCCCACCACAUGUUUGCUGGAAUGCCCAGAUAAGUUGUUUCCGGCCCCAUGGUAGAAGCACAUUGUUUUAUUGAACUAUGUUUCGUAAUUGACUUAAAGAAUGAAAAAAGGUCAAAUUCCCAACAUCAACCUAGACUUCAGACACCCUUUUUUCCCGGAUCAAAAACCUGGAAACUUUCAUCUUCCUUCCAUAAUAAAGUAGAUAUAAUUAGCUUUUUUUUUUACUUUCCAGAGGAAGCUAUUGAAUGGACAAAGAUAUACGAAUUGCCUCAUUAUGGAAGGAAGUCAAAGCAGAUAAAGAAACAAUUAAUUGUGCGACCUCCAUAUCCUAAAAUAUAUCUCAAAAAUGAAAUGCUAACGGUCAAUUCGAUUACAGAAGUAUGUGUUGUGAUUGAUGGUGAAUGGAAAGUUAGGGAUUUGGUAGAUUGGUGUAAAGAUGAUUGUUAUUGGUCAGCAAGGAUCAUCAAAAUAUUGAGUGGUGAUGAGGUUUAGAUUGAGUUGCCAAUACCUCCUGCUCGACAAGGGAGGAUUUAUGAUGCAUUUUGUAAGGAUUUACGCACAUCCUUAAACGGUCUCCAUUAGAAGGCUAAACAUUUCCUACCAUGGUUCUUUUCUUUUUUCCUAUACACUGAUUUCUUUUUUUCUUGAUUAUUAUUGUCAUUUUAGAUGUUUGUUUUGAAUCGAAAUCCAUUUGUGUUACAAAUCUAUGAAAUUGUAUGUAUAUAUGAAUGAUUUAUAUUCAUUAAAAACUAUUAAUAUUACAAAACAUGAUAACUAAGCCUUUGGAUUUUUUUAA